AGAGUUUGAUCAUGGCUCAGAUUGAACGCUGGCGGCAGGCUUAACACAUGCAAGUCGAGCGGGGAAAGGUAGCUUGCUACCUUACCUAGCGGCGGACGGGUGAGUAAUGCUUAGGAAUCUGCCUAUUAGUGGGGGACAACAUUUCGAAAGGAAUGCUAAUACCGCAUACGCCCUACGGGGGAAAGCAGGGGACCUUCGGGCCUUGCGCUAAUAGAUGAGCCUAAGUCGGAUUAGCUAGUUGGUGGGGUAAAGGCCUACCAAGGCGACGAUCUGUAGCGGGUCUGAGAGGAUGAUCCGCCACACUGGGACUGAGACACGGCCCAGACUCCUACGGGAGGCAGCAGUGGGGAAUAUUGGACAAUGGGGGGAACCCUGAUCCAGCCAUGCCGCGUGUGUGAAGAAGGCCUUUUGGUUGUAAAGCACUUUAAGCGAGGAGGAGGCUACCGAGAUUAAUACUCUUGGAUAGUGGACGUUACUCGCAGAAUAAGCACCGGCUAACUCUGUGCCAGCAGCCGCGGUAAUACAGAGGGUGCAAGCGUUAAUCGGAUUUACUGGGCGUAAAGCGCGCGUAGGUGGCCAAUUAAGUCAAAUGUGAAAUCCCCGAGCUUAACUUGGGAAUUGCAUUCGAUACUGGUUGGCUAGAGUAUGGGAGAGGAUGGUAGAAUUCCAGGUGUAGCGGUGAAAUGCGUAGAGAUCUGGAGGAAUACCGAUGGCGAAGGCAGCCAUCUGGCCUAAUACUGACACUGAGGUGCGAAGCAUGGGGAGCAAACAGGAUUAGAUACCCUGGUAGUCCAUGCCGUAAACGAUGUCUACUAGCCGUUGGGGCCUUUGAGGCUUUAGUGGCGCAACUAACGCGAUAAGUAGACCGCCUGGGG
rnacentral:rRNA from 1 species